UACGUAGGGUGCGAGCGUUAAUCGGAAUUACUGGGCGUAAAGCGUGCGCAGGCGGUUUUGUAAGCCAGAUGUGAAAUCCCCGGGCUUAACCUGGGAAUGGCAUUUGGGACUGCAAGGCUGGAGUGCGGCAGAGGAGACUGGAAUUCCCGGUGUAGCGGUGGAAUGCGUAGAGAUCGGGAAGAACAUCAGUGGCGAAGGCGGCCUGCUGGGCCUGUUGCUGACGCUGAGGCGCGACAGCGUGGGGAGCAAACAGG
rnacentral:rRNA from 1 species